GGUGACACAAAGGUCACCAUGAAGGAAAUCUUACUAAAGGCAGUGAAGCGAAGAAAAGGACCCCAGAAAAUUUCAGGCCCUCAGUACUGCCUGGAGAAGCAGAGUGAGCCCAAUGUCGCCAUUGACCUGGACAGCACUUUGGAGAGCCAGAGCACAUGGGAGUUCUGCCUGGUCCGCGAGAACAGUAUCUCUGGAGACAAAGUAGAGAUAGACCCUGUUACGAAUCAGAAAGCCAGCACUAAGUUUUGGAUUAAGCAGAAACCCAUCUUAAUCAGUUCUGACCUGCUCUGUGCCUGUGACCUUGCUGAAGAAAAAAGCCCCAGUCACGCAAUAUUUAAACUCACAUAUCUAAGCAAUCACGACUAUAAACACCUCUACUUUGAAUCAGAUGCUGCUACCGUCAAUGAAAUUGUGCUGAAGGUUAACUACAUCCUGGAAUCGUGAGCAAGCACUGCCCGGGCUGACUACUUUGCUCAAAAACAAAGAAAACUGAACAGAUGUACAAGCUUCAGCUUCCAGAAGGAGAAGAAAUCUGGGCAGUAGUGACACUGGCCUCCAGCCUCAAUCUGUUCCAUAGCUCAGAGCCUGCCUGCCAGGGCCAAGUGCCCUAGAGCCCACCCGGUGUCCUGAAGUCCUCGGGGGGAGGCCAGCCCCUGGCUCACUGGCACUGGGCAGGUGGGCCUUUGGGGAAGGUGUCAGGGCCCCCUAGGAGGAAGCACUGGGGACAUUGCCAUGGACUGAAUCCUGCUUGGCAGUGGCUUUGAUUAAUGAUGCCUGGGGGCCAGACCACCCCCUGGAGGAGCCACGUGCCAUGCAGCCAUCUUCACUGCCUUCCACACUGCCCGAGGAGGUACAGAGCCGUGCCCAGUCAUUUCCUUGCAACUUGAUCAAAUUUCUUAAAGCAAACAAAGAACAAAAAUGUACAUUUCUGUUUUUCAUUUUAAUAAACAGGUGUACUCUUUAAAAA